GCCAAUCCCAUAAAACCAUUCUCAGUUCGGAUUGUAGGCUGCAACUCGCCUACAUGAAGCUGGAAUCGCUAGUAAUCGCGGAUCAGCAUGCCGCGGUGAAUACGUUCCCGGGCCUUGUACACACCGCCCGUCACACCACGAGAGUUUGUAACACCCGAAGUCGGUGGAGUAACCGUAAGGAGCUAGCCGCCUAAGGUGGGACAGAUGAUUGGGGUGAAGUCGUAACAAGGUAGCCGUAUCGGAAGGUGCGGCUGGAUCACCUCCUUUCUAAGGA
rnacentral:rRNA from 1 species